rnacentral:rRNA from 1 species
AAUCAACGCUGGCGGCGUGCCUCAGACAUGCAAGUCGAACGCGAAAGCCCCCUUCGGGGGGCAAGUAGAGUGGCGCACGGGUGAGUAACACGUAGGUAAUCUACCUUUGGAUGGGGAAUAACAACCGGAAACGGUUGCUAAUACCGCAUAAUGCAGCGGCACCUAAUGGUGACAGUUGUUAAAGCGGGGGAUCGUAAGACCUCGCGUCUGAAGAGGAGCCUGCGGCAGAUUAGCUAGUUGGUAAGGUAAAGGCUUACCAAGGCGAUGAUCUGUAGCCGGCCUGAGAGGGCGGUCGGCCACACUGACACUGACAUACGGGUCAGACUCCUACGGGAGGCAGCAGUCGGGAAUUUUGGGCAAUGGGCGAAAGCCUGACCCAGCAACGCCGCGUGAAGGAUGAAAUCCCUCGGGAUGUAAACUUCGCAAGAACGGGAAGAAUAAGUAAGAGCUAACAUCUCUUAUGAUGACGGUACUGUUUGUAAGCUCCGGCUAACUCCGUGC